rnacentral:rRNA from 1 species
CUCCUACGGGGCGCAGCAGUGGGGAAUAUUGCACAAUGGGGGAAACCCUGAUGCAGCGACGCCGCGUGAGUGAAGAAGUAAUUCGUUAUGUAAAGCUCUAUCAGCAGGGAAGAAAAUGACGGUACCUGAGUAAGAAGCCCCGGCUAACUACGUGCCAGCAGCCGCGGUAAUACGUAGGGGGCAAGCGUUAUCCGGAUUUACUGGGUGUAAAGGGAGCGUAGACGGCAGUGCAAGUCUGGAGUGAAAGGCGGGGGCUCAACCCCGGGACUGCUCUUGGAACUGCAUGGCUGGAGUACAGGAGGGGG